rnacentral:rRNA from 1 species
GUGGCGGACGGGUGAGUAACACGUGGGAACGUGCCCUUUGGUACGGAAUAACUCAGGGAAACUUGAGCUAAUACCGUAUGUGCCCUUCGGGGGAAAGAUUUAUCGCCAUUGGAGCGGCCCGCGUCUGAUUAGCUAGUUGGUGAGGUAACGGCUCACCAAGGCGACGAUCAGUAGCUGGUCUGAGAGGAUGACCAGCCACAUUGGGACUGAGACACGGCCCAAACUCCUACGGGAGGCAGCAGUGGGGAAUCUUGCGCAAUGGGCGAAAGCCUGACGCAGCCAUGCCGCGUGGAUGAUGAAGGUCUUAGGAUUGUAAAAUCCUUUCACCGGUGAAGAUAAUGACUGUAGCCGGAGAAGAGGCCCCGGCUAACUUCGUGCCAGCAGCCGCGGUAAUACGAAGGGGGCUAGCGUUGCUCGGAAUUACUGGGCGUAAAGGGCGCGUAGGCGGACAUUUAAGUCAGGGGUGAAAUCCCAGAGCUCAACUCUGGAACUGCCUUUGAUACUGGAUGUCUUGAGUGUGAGAGAGGUAUGUGGAACUCCGAGUGUAGAGGUGAAAUUCGUAGAUAUUCGGAAGAACACCAGUGGCGAAGGCGACAUACUGGCUCAUUACUGACGCUGAGGCGCGAAAGCGUGGGGAGCAAACAGGAUUAGAUACCCUGGUAGUCCAC